rnacentral:rRNA from 1 species
AUUGAACGCUGGCGGCAGGACUAACACAUGCACGUCGAACGAGUGGCGGACGGGUGAGUAAUGUCGGGGAAAAUGCCUGAUGGAGGGGGAUAACUACUGGAAACGGUAGCUAAUACCGCAUACCAUCGGAUGUGCCCAGAUGGGAGUAGCUAGUAGGUGGGGUAAAGGCUCACCUAGGCGACGAUCCCUAGCUGGUCUGAGAGGAGGACCAGCCACACGUGAACUUAGACACGGUCCAGACGCCUACGGGAGGCAGCAGUGGGGAAUAUUGCACAAUGGGCGCAAGCCUGAUGCAGCCAUGCCGCGUGUAUGAAGAAGGCCUUCGGGUUGUAAAGUACUUUCAGCGUGGAGGCGUUACCCGCAGAAGAAGCACCGGCUAACUCCGUGCCAGCAGCCUCGGUAAUAC